rnacentral:rRNA from 1 species
UACAGAGGGUGCGAGCGUUUGUUCGGAAUUAUUGGGCGUAAAGGGCGCGUAGGCGGUGCGGCAAGUCACCUGUGAAACCUCUGGGCUUAACCCAGAGCCUGCAGGCGAAACUGCCGUGCUGGAGUGUGGGAGAGGUGCGUGGAAUUCCCGGUGUAGCGGUGAAAUGCGUAGAUAUCAGGAGGAACACCUGUGGCGAAAGCGGCGCACUGGACCACAACUGACGCUGAGGCGCGAAAGCUAGGGGAGCAAACAGG